UCGCAACCCAUCAGAAUUACUGAUCUAGCAUGUUUUAUAGCAGUUAAAGGGUAUGAUCUGAAAUUUUCAUUUCCGUUUCUGCCUGCCUGUGUUCAGUAAAUAUCUGAACCUUGAUCAUCCUCUUUCUCUCUCAACUCUCUGAGUGUGCCUUUCGAAUCACAGGACAGAGCAUUCUUCACCCUCUCUUUUCUUCCCUCUGACCUAUUUUUGAUCUUCUCUGCUGUUUUCCACUCCAUGCCAGAUUAACAUUUCACCAAGCAAGACGAGUGGAGACAAGGAGAGAGCAAAAUCUAAGAUGAAAUGACAGCUCUAUACGCCCCCACUCUCCUCGCUUUACAACUCCGCUGCCCUGGUCUCCACUUCUGUUCUGCUUUCUUCCUCUCUCCUUUCAUCUGCUCUCGUUCCAUAAUCCAGUCCUCCUCUAUUCAACUUGGUCACCCGACUUCAGACUGCAGGAAACGUGCAAGGACUGUUUUCGCAAUUCAUUUGUUGGCAUCAUCAUUAACAUUUCAGCUUGAGCAAGUGCUUUUCUUUGUGGGAAAGAGAUGGGAGUUUGAAACAUGGAUAAGAGCGAAUUCUCUCAGUGAAUAAUAAUAGGUCACGCUGGAGGAGAGAAUGGAGGAGUUUCAUCACCUUUGCUUUUCUCUUCUGAUGUGUUCAGCCUGCAGUUAUCUCUCAUGGCGGACAAGUUUGAUCAUAAGCAAUCAGAUCUGCCCUGAUUUCGGUCAUCAGUAGUGAGGAACUGGCUUUGCAAUGAUGCAGUGUGGAACAUGCAGGGAAAUAUUCCUUUUCAAAGCACUUCUGCCUCAAUGGAUUCCUGUCUCCCUCUGUUCCUUCCUGUAUGCCUGCGCUAAUGAAUGCAUGCAUGCAUCAAACACUUGCACAGCAGCUGUACUGUCAAGGGAGAGAAACUGCAUUUUACAACCUUACGACCAAGCACCCCCCUCCCCCCAUCUGUUUCAUUGACCUCACAGUUGCUAGGGCAACGGGGAUUCCUAACUCAUGGAUGGAUCUGAUUGGUUCAAAGAUUGAGAGGAGCCUCUAAUUGGGCCAACAGAAUAUACAAGAUGUAACUAAAUUUGUGUGUAUCUGUUAUCACUGAAUCAUGAUGAAUUCUUUUAUUUUGUUACCUUGUUACUAUUAUUUCAAACCAUCAUACUGGUGUUCUUUCAGCUUAGGCUUUCAGCAGAACAUUGGUACGAAUGUGCUGGUAUUCUAGGCUGAUUAUGAAGAAAGUAAACAGCCAAUGGCACAUGAUUGUGGGCCACAGCUGUUUUGCGUUUGCUUCAUUUGGUUCUACAGCCUCACUUCAAGCAGAUUCAUCCUCACUCUGUGUUCCUUUCAGAAUCCUCAAGUGGGUCAACUCAAACAGAUUGGGGUUUACAAAGCUAUUGCAUAAAGCAAUGAUGCAGAUGGACAAUAAGUGAUAUAAAGAAGCAUACACAGGACUGUCUGAACACUGUUGGCCCAGUCUCAAAUCCUGGCCUGAGCCCUCGCAGUACUCCUCCGAGUCCACACUUUGAUGACAUAAUACCGCAUAAACUGUCCACUGUGAACACUGUUCUGAAACCCAAAAUGUCACGAUACAAGCAUGUGAUGGUCUCAUUGGAAAUUCGAAUGACUUCAAGGACACAAGCAUUCAGCCCAUUUCAUCCAACACGUCAUCUCCCAACACACUUAUUUCCAUUCAGGUGAAGAGUUAGUAACAGAGAUCCCAGCAGUACCCUUAAGAUCCCCAGGAGAAGAUUUCUUAUGUGGAGGAUGUGAUCAUGUUUCCAUUUGGUGGGAAUAUCUGAAAUCUAUACAAUCACUUGCGAUGUAAAGUCUCUCAUUCUUAAGUGUGGGAGGUUCUUUUAAUGCAUGGGUUUGUUUGUGAAAAGGGAAAUCAUGUCAGACUUUCACUCGAGCAUCCUCCCCUCCCCCAUUCUUGCCUCUUUUCUCUCUUCAGCUUUGGAGAGAGAUGAAAAAGUGAUGAUAAUAUGUAAAGAGAAGACUUUCUCACCUUCACAUCUCCUUCAUGCUCAUACAUCUAUUCACAGUUUUACAGUUGUUGUGUCAGUUUGCUUGUAGCUUGAAGCGAACUACUUGUUUCAAAGGGUUGCUUGACUACUUUAUUGUGAGAGGCCAAACUACAAAUAGCUUUCACAUGCAGCGUUGUUAUUUCUAUAAAUGUCAUGUGACGGAAAUGUGUUUUUCAAGCUGUUCGUAUCUGUGGUGUUUCACAAGAAUGCAUCUCCUCUUCAAAUGCUUUGUUUGAAGAUUUUAUUGGUCCUCUGCCAGGAAUAUCUGUCUGGGUUGAAGAUGGAUUAUCUAAUGUUUUGAGCAGGCUUGUGUAACUAUGCCCUGCCAUCCGUAUUCAUAUUAUGCAGAUUCAUAAACAUUCAUAAAGGGCUCAGUAUUUCAAAGUAAUUCCAUACUACUGAGACUUUACCUUUUAAAAAUCAUCUUUGUAUAAAAAACACCUUUAGUUUUCUCACCUAAGGUUCUAGUUUUUAGUCUGUUAUUUAAAUAAUUUUACAGUUCCGCUGCUAAUAUGAAAGUGCUGCAGAACAAAAAUAUGCUAUUAUCCUAUUCAUCACAGUUGAAUCUGUUUACAAGCCUGAUCAAUCUGUUUGCAUUUUGGCAUAAACCUGUGGUUUCCCAUUAUCUUGUUUUCAUGGAUGCAUGAGCACUGGAUUGGCUUCAAUAACAGGUUUUAUCCAUGUCCCAUGGCUGACCCAGGGUCUUCCUAGUAGUGCUAUUGGACAAACAACACUCCCUCUUUGUCUGUGGAGCACUGGCCCAUUCGAGCUCAUCAAAAUUUCAAGAGUCAUUCAAUCGAGCAGUGCGGCCAUCCAGGGGAGCCCGUGUUGGUAGAGGAAAUGGAUACUGGGGCACCUGGGUCCAACUCCAUUACUGAGGCCCUGUCAGGGCCAUCUCAACUGGGGAGUCACUGGAAAAAAACACAGGUGGGGUUCUAGGCCAUGGAUAAUUCAAAUGUGACCACCUCUGAUAGCACUGGUAAGGUCUAUACAGAUACAUAUCACUAUAAUUAUCUGUAUUUUACAUUAUGUUUAUUAUAUUUAAAAUAGUAUUACAAUAAAAUGUAUAUGCUGAAUAAUUUGUAUUUUAAAUAUUUUGAUAAUAGAUUAUACCGUGUUGAAUUGUGAAUAUCCUAGAGAGAGAGUGAAGAAAAAAACUCCCAUGAUGCAACAAUUUCUUGAAAUCUUUUGCAAAAUCCCCAGUCUCAAAAUUUACUUUCAGUGGGAAAGUAUAUUCCAAGGAGCGUCGUUUUUAUUUGCUUCUGUCUAAAUUAUUAAUUUAGCUUAAUUUCUUUUGCUUCAGAGAGGUUAAGCGGAGGUCACAGAGAUUUCAAGGGAUCUUGUUUUCAUUAGCAUGCGGCUGUAUGCAGAUCAUAUCAUCGCUCUCUGUAACUUAGAUAGAGUGUGGGCGAUUUAAUCAUAGUAAGAAGCAUAUGUCAGAGAUUGGACACCUAUCAUGGCAAGGUCACUGGAUCAGAAGAUGACCCCAGUGCAUGUACAAUGGAUUUUGCUUCAUUUCACAUUUGAACACUAAGAAAUAUAAUACAUCCUCUCUGGAACUAAACUAUGAAACUGAAUUAUCUUUACAUGAUUAACGUUUGAAUAUAAUUGCUGGAGUACAAUACUAUGUUCCGGAUGUGAUUCGCUCAUCGAUCGGUGCGUCUCAUUGCUUGUUGUGGAUCAAUUCGAGAAGUCAGGGCCAUCCGAGCCAUCUCCCUGCUGAGCAUCCAUAAAAUGAUUUAAAUGGAUUACUCUGUGCAUGAUCACAUUAGACUGACCACAACUCUGGCAAGAAAUGUUCAAACUCAAUUUCAAACCUUUGUAGAUCAUUGCCUAAAGAUCAUUAACAUCUAUUGUCGUACAAUAAUGAAAGAUAUUCAUACCGAUUUACAUUCAGUUGGACCAUAAAUAUCUUCGUUUGACUACUUAUACUAUGUCUCUGCAGGUAGACUAAAUAACUUUUCAUCCAGAUGCUGGUAUUUCAACUGUGCCAAAAGGUUAAAGGGCCUGAGUCGGAUGGCUGAAUGGUUUAAUGCCAGUCUUUGCACAGGCAUCUAGGGAUGAGGUAAAAGCACAGGUCGUAAAACACAACACAAAUUGUUCUCAUGGCUCUCGUUUUGCAUUUAGGAAUGCUGAAGGAUAUAUUGCUGCUAAUAAAGGUGAUAUUGCUUUGAUCCAAAUUUAUAUCUGUCAUUAUGUACAGGCUGUUUAGAGACAUCCCAAUGACUAUUUUAAGUGGUCUACUUUUUUCAUCAGCAGACGGAUGGUCUGAUACAGUGUGCUGUUGCUCUGGCAUUAAUGGGAAACACUCCAAGGGUGAUAUUAGGGUUACUUGUCAUUCAACUGAAGCCUUUUUAUCCAAACCACAGGAACUGUCCCCUCUGUAACAACCUGACAAUAAGUGCAUUGCUCAAGGGCAGAAUUGUGAUUAUGUUAAGUCACUGAGUAAGUGGAUCUGAAUUUAUAACCCUUGUGCUAAUGGCAAAGGUCCCAGUUUAUAAUAUCACCAUUUGUCAGAUAUGAGGUGAACUCAAAACCUUGCGUUGCUAAGCCAUAUAACCCAUAUACAUGCUGCUGUGCACUGAUCAACCACCAAGUGAAUAUUCUUUCAUCAUGCACUUACCUACAUUUUGUCCCAAAUCUGUAUGACCUUUUUUCUUGUGUGGACUCAAAGCUGGAAAUUUUAAAAGCUGUGUUGAUCUUCCAUGAUUCUUCCGUAUUGCAAACUUCAAAUAACAGAAGAGGUCCAUACAACUCCAUGCACUAUAUAUUCCAAGUCUUCUGAAACCAUUUUAACCACAAUAACUCUUAACCACUGCUACUAGAUUUAGUGAACUGGACUCAAGGACCAGAUCAGUCUAAUUUGUGAAUGAAUCAUUCAAACAUAAAAAUGAUUCAGCUGAUUGGAUUCACAGAUUGUGAACUGCUUUAAUUUGGAGGGAGAGAUAUUGCUUUAUUGCGUCAGAUACAGUAUGUCACUUUGCUCACAGAUUAUUGGUCUUGAUUUGGUUUGCAAACUUAAAGAAUAAAACCUGCUCUGGACUAGGUUAGCCAUGUAGUGCAAGUUACCAUAGUGAUAUACACCGCUAAAAAACAACCAUUCACCUUCUUGAACAAGAAAAACCAGAGCUGCCUCAAACUCAGACUUGCCUGGAUAACCACUGAAUCUGGCUUUGUUAAAUAGACUACUGGUACUUCUGUAAUGCAAAGAAAUAAACUAAAAAAUAUGGUGUCACUUUAAAGUUGUACUUUUUUAUUAUUCAUUAAGAUCAUGCUAAUAUAACUAUAUUUUAAUAAGACUUAUCAGUGCUCCAACAAACGUUGAAGGUUUCCAAUGAGGUUAAGUAAAUUACGAGAGAACGUUUGGCAUGUUUGGAACAACUUGAGGGUGAAUAAAUGAUGACAGAAUUUAAAUUUUUGUGUGAACUAUCCCUUUAAGGUAAAUAGACCUCUAUUUAAAAUGUGGAAAUAAAUCUUUUCUUGAAGCAGUUCACCAGGGAUUAAUUUGAAUGGCAAAUGUCUUGCCUACACUGACUAAAUCGAGUCU